rnacentral:rRNA from 1 species
GGGAAUUUUGGACAAUGGGCGAAAGUCUGAUCCAGCAAUGCCGCGUGUGUGAAGAAGGCCUUCGGGUUGUAAAGCACUUUUGUCCGGAAAGAAAUCCUUGGCUCUAAUACAGUCGGGGGAUGACGGUGCCGGAAGAAUAAGCACCGGCUAACUACGUGCCAGCAGCCGCGGUAAUACGUAGGGUGCGAGCGUUAAUCGGAAUUACUGGGCGUAAAGCGUGCGCAGGCGGUUUGCUAAGACCGAUGUGAAAUCCCCGGGCUCAACCUGGGAACUGCAUUGGUGACUGGCAGGCUAGAGUAUGGCAGAGGGGGGUAGAAUUCCACGUGUAGCAGUGAAAUGCGUAGAGAUGUGGAGGAAUACCGAUGGCGAAGGCAGCCCCCUGGGCCAAUACUGACGCUCAUGCACGAAAGCGUGGGGAGCAAACAGAAUUAGAUACCCUGGUAGUCCACGCCCUAAACGAUGUCAACUAGUUGUUGGGGAUUCAUUUCCUUAGUAACGUAGCUAACGCGUGAAGUUGACCGCCUGGGGAGUACGGUCGCAAGAUUAAAACUCAAAGGAAUUGACGGGGACCCGCACAAGCGGUGGAUGAUGUGGAUUAAUUCGAUGCAACGCGAAAAACCUUACCUACCCUUGACAUGGUCGGAAUCCUGCUGAGAGGUGGGAGUGCUCGAAAGAGAACCGGCGCACAGGUGCUGCAUGGCUGUCGUCAGCUCGUGUCGUGAGAUGUUGGGUUAAGUCCCGCAACGAGCGCAACCCUUGUCCUUAGUUGCUACGCAAGAGCACUCUAAGGAGACUGCCGGUGACAAACCGGAGGAAGGUGGGGAUGACGUCAAGUCCUCAUGGCCCUUAUGGGUAGGGCUUCACACGUCAUACAAUGGUCGGAACAGAGGGUUGCCAACCCGCGAGGGGGAGCUAAUCCCAGAAAACCGAUCGUAGUCCGGAUUGCACUCUGCAACUCGAGUGCAUGAAGCUGGAAUCGCUAGUAAUCGCGGAUCAGCAUGCC